UACGAAGGGGGCUAGCGUUGUUCGGAAUUACUGGGCGUAAAGCGCGCGCAGGCGGCUUUCCAAGUCAGGGGUGAAAUCCCAGAGCUCAACUCUGGAAUUGCCUCUGAGACUGUGAGGCUUCGAGUACGGGAGAGGUGAGUGGAAUUCCCAGUGUAGAGGUGAAAUUCGUAGAUAUCAGGAGGAACACCAAUAGCGAAGGCAGCUCGCUGGGACGUUACUGACACUGAGGCGCGAAAGCGUGGGGAGCGAACAGG
rnacentral:rRNA from 1 species